rnacentral:pre_miRNA from 1 species
GAGACACCCCCCUGGGGCAAGACUUGCUUCAAUGGGGCUUUGGUGCUCACUGAGUCUGCCCCCUGUGUCCUU